CAGCCGUAAACUAUGCUCGCUAGGUGUCAGGCAUGGCGCGACCGUGUCUGGUGCCGCAGGGAAGCCGUGAAGCGAGCCACCUGGGAAGUACGGCCGCAAGGCUGAAACUUAAAGGAAUUGGCGGGGGGAGGCACCACAACGGGUGGAGCCUGCGGGUUUAAUUUGGACUCAACGCCGGGAAGCUCACCGGAUAAGACAGCGGAAUGAUUGCCGGGCUGAAGACUCUGCAUGACUAGCUGAGAGGAGGUGCAUGGCGUAGACGUCU
rnacentral:rRNA from 1 species